rnacentral:misc_RNA from 1 species
GCAAGUAAAAGUGGCUAGAAUCUAAGUAUAUUUGCAAAUACAAAGUUAAUGAUGAAAAUUUUGAGGCCUCUGAAUCCCAAGGCUUCAAUCUUGCCUAGUUUUAACCACUAUACCAAGGCCUCAUUGGACAUUAAUUUGCCUUUUGGGCCAUAAGUAGCUUGGUUUGGAUCCCCAAAAGGGAAACGGAAUUUUACAUUCCAACUGGACUUCUUUUUUGCAUGCAGUAGCUGUAUAAAGAGACCAAGUAGCCUUAACAAAAAGAAUUCUGUAUGUAUCAAUGCUGGCAAAUUUCAAUCACAAGUGGUGAGAACUAGUAAACAAGAAGGAAUUCACAUGGUCAAACCAAAUCGUACUGUAAUGAAACGAAGGCCACCAUAACUUCGGCAAGGCUUUGUCCAAUUAAUGCCAUUAUGAUCGUUCAAAGCGAGAAACACAAGUUGGUUUUGCCAUUGAAAAGCAUAAACAAGUACAGAAGUGCUUUUACGUGCACUUUCAACAAGCCUGUGAGCUUAAAUUGAACCUUUAAGAGCCUCUUCCAUAUCACGCACGAGGAAAUGCACCUUUCCACCAACAAGAGCUUUGACAUUAAAGCUUAGGCUAAUUGAAUUUGGAAACUCCAACAAACAUCAGUUGAGAUUUAUUUUUUUUGGUCUAAGAAUCAGAGGAACAAUCGUGUGCUUACCAGACUCUAUUUACAUUAGAGGGUCGGCUUUUGCUCUCUGUACAUCACUCCUCUCAUCUUCUCUAAUUCACAUUAGAUAUUCAUAAUAUACUAAGAAAAGAGCAUCUGGGUAAUCUUUUGGCAAGCUGUUGAUAUAGAGGUAGAAGCGCAACAAAUCCUCCUUGGAUAUUGUUUUUGUGUCAACCACAUCGUUGUUACAAGUGAGCACCCAUAAGUCUUCUGAGUUAACUCUCUUUAAGCUACCACGACAAAAAGGGCAGGAUUCUGACCUUGUGUUCCUGUAGUUGAGAAGGAAAAUCAAUAUGAAAGAAUUAAGGCAACUCUAUUCCAUAACAAGAGGGAUGUUGAUGUAACAAAUAUUAUGACAUGUGAUUACCAAUUGCGGUAGCAUUUGACGCACAUUGCAUGGCAACAAUUAGGCAGGACCAUUUUUGUGCAAGGCUCCAAGCAAAUUCCACAUUCAUCUUCUCUCUCUAUAUCAACAUUGGCAAGCCUAAUAUCUCCAUCCACCCUCUUCUUCCCCAAACUCUCUAUUCCCAAAUGCCCUUCCUUAACAUCCUCUAACUCCUCCAAAUUACCAUGAAGCCGUUGAAGAGAUGGUAAUAUAACACCUACAAUUAGUUUUUUUAGAAAUGAACAGAAUCAAAACACACAUAACAGCAACUGUUGGAAAGUAGUUGAUGUUCAGUUAUAUUUAUAUUUAUAUUCAACGUAGUUGAUGUGCAAUAUAGAAUACUUGUAAAGUGCAGGUAUCUUUUACAUACCAUAGAAUUCCUUGAUUGUUGCUUUCCUUCCAUGUGUAGAUAGGUUUGGUCUACCAUCUGCAUAUACCUGCAUGACAUCAGCGAGCAAAGUAUACAAAAAUGCACAAAUUAUAUGACAAGAAAAUGGGCAACAAUCUUAAACAAAUCAAAAGAUUAAAAAAGCCUACCUUAUAUACAAGUAUGUGAAAGAGAUUUAGAUAUCUAGGGAGUAGACAUAUGCAAGAACAAUCUAUCCGUUGUAGCAAAAAGAGAAAGAAGGGAGUCCAUUGAUUGUAAACUAAUUUCAUCUGAAGACGUGCACCACUCUUGCCUCUUGGAAUUGCAGCAGCCCUAAUUCACCACAAUUCACGUUAAGUACCAAAUUAGUUCACUCAACCAUGUUGUAAUUAAGAUUUAGAUUCUAAUUUCAUACAAACAUAAUAAUGAUCACAUCUCAAGAACACAACUUUUAACCAAUUUUGCUAAAAACAAAGAAGGGAGAGACAAAGAAUUCCAAUCCAUCUCUGGACGAUAUUCCAAUAAUAGCCAAAGCAAUCCACUAGAACCGAAAUUGACAAAGCAGAAAGUACAGAACCAGCAUCAAAAUAAAAUCUUCGUGUGCACAUAUGCAGAAUGAUCUCAAUCGCACCUAGAAAAAGCAGUCUUUUAUGCUAAAUUUCAAAUUCCCACUUGACUAUUGGUUUCUAAAAUUCCCAAAGUUUACAAAUUCAUAGCCCAAGUGAAAAUCGAUCAUGAAAACUACAUACACAUGACCAAACUGGUCCCCCUUUCUUCCCCUCGAUCAGCAUAACAGCCGAGCCAAAUCAAGAAGUCCACCAUGAAAGCUAUAACUAAAAUCCACGUAUACAAGAACAAAAACAGAGACAUGGGUAACAUAAAAAAGUGAAAAGAAUCGAAAUUUAAUUAGAGAAAGGACACUCACAAAGCAUUAGCAUGUUGUAUAUCAGCCUCCAGAACUUUGAGGGACUCCUGGUAAGAGGAACUGCCCACCUGCAAAUACAUCAUGUCCAUCUCUCUCUCUUACACAGACACACACAAAGUCGAAGAAUAGCAACUGGUUUUGAUGUCUUAAGAAACCUAAUCCACCAAAAACUAAAAGAUAGUUAAAAAAGAGAGAUAGGUAUCUCUCUCCCUCUAGCUUUCUUCCAGGGGCGGCUCUGAUAAAAAUUCCUUUAUUUUUUCUUUUUGGAUUCUGAUAGCUUUUAAUGGUUAAAGAAAGAUAGAGAAUCAAUACAAGAAAAAUACUUGCUUUUGUAGGAAGGAGGUGAGGUGAGGUCAGGUGUGUUGUUU